rnacentral:lncRNA from 1 species
UUCCAAGUUAGUUCCUUCCACCAUGCCACGUUUGCCUUCCACUCUACGAAUUCCCGUGUAUCCCACUCCCAUUUAUCCUAACACUCAACCUCAAGUUCUGGGUUAUAUUCAGAAGGUCCAUUUCUAGACUUUUCUUUUCCAAUGGAAGGGCAAAGAUGAAGAGCUUCUGCUAUGGUUUUCAGAUAGAAUGCUACCCCCUUUGCCUGCCUCCCUUUCUCCUGUCGCUCUCAGUGACGAACUGAAUCUAUUUCUCCAUAUGCAGGAGGUUCUCGCAGAAGUUCUGGGCUCCAUUCAGUCUGUGGCAGGGGAAGCGGAUGGGCACAAUGCCCUGGGAUGCCCUCCAGUUUGGCAGGCUGAUCGUAUCCAACUGAUGGUCAUGGCCUGGUGCCCACUGGCUUCAGAAGACUCUGGAAGCUGCUUGUUGCCCAGUAUUUUCCACUGCAACCCCAGGCAGACUUAG